CUGAUGUUCGCCGACCGUUGACUAUUCUCUA
rnacentral:misc_RNA from 1 species